rnacentral:rRNA from 1 species
UGGGGAAUAUUGGACAAUGGGCGAAAGCCUGAUCCAGCAAUACCGCGUGAAUGAUGAAGGCCUUAGGGUUGUAAAGUUCUUUUAGUAGGGAAGAUAAUGACGGUACCUACAGAAAAAGCCCCGGCUAACUCCGUGCCAGCAGCCGCGGUAAGACGGAGGGGGCUAGCGUUGUUCGGAAUUACUGGGCGUAAAGAGCGCGUAGGCGGAUUAGUAAGUUGGAAGUGAAAGCCCGGGGCUUAACCUCGGAAUAGCUUUCAAAACUAUUAGUCUUGAGUGUAGUAGGGGAUGAUGGAAUUCCUAGUGUAGAGGUGAAAUUCUUAGAUAUUAGGAGGAACACCGGUGGCGAAGGCGGUCAUCUGGGCUACAACUGACGCUGAGGCGCGAAAGCGUGGGGAGCAAACAGGAUUAGAUACCCCGGUAGUCC